rnacentral:rRNA from 1 species
GAUGAACGCUGGCGGCGUGCCUAAUACAUGCCAGUCGAGCGAACGGACGAGAAGCUUGCUUCUCUGAUGUUAGCGGCGGACGGGUGAGUAACACGUGGAUAACCUACCUAUAAGACUGGGAUAUCUUCGGGAAACCGGAGCUAAUACCGGAUAAUAUUUUGAACCGCAUGGUUCAAAAGUGAAAGACGGUCUUGCUGUCACUUAUAGAUGGAUCCGCGCUGCAUUAGCUAGUUGGUAAGGUAACGGCUUACCAAGGCAACGAUGCAUAGCCGACCUGAGAGGGUGAUCGGCCACACUGGAACUGAGACACGGUCCAGACUCCUACGGGAGGCAGCAGUAGGGAAUCUUCCGCAAUGGGCGAAAGCCUGACGGAGCAACGCCGCGUGAGUGAUGAAGGUCUUCGGAUCGUAAAACUCUGUUAUUAGGGAAGAACAUAUGUGUAAGUAACUGUGCACAUCUUGACGGUACCUAAUCAGAAAGCCACGGCUAACUACGUG